UGGAGAAGGUUGAUAAUCUAAUCAGUGGUCAUAGCAUUAUUAGUUUAUUAAAACUCAAACCACGGUCUGGGCUGUAGAGUUACCAGUAUGCGCCAGUAUGUUUUAAACAGGAAAACCUGCACAACAUUCCUCUUUUACAUACUUUAAGGACCGGUUAUAUAAAUUAUUUUAUAUCCUUGUAUUUCUGCAUCUGCUGAAUCUUUCUUCAACAUCUCCCCCCUGUUUAAAGUCAGCCGCUUUUGCCAGAAAUGGAGAAUCCACAACAAACGUGUGUCUAGUGGGAAUUGAACCCAGGUCUCCAACACCAAAGUCCUGCCCUCUCUAACGAGGUUGCUUUGCAGAGUUUUGGUGCUUUUUUAGUUUUGUUUUGAUCAAUGCCGCUUUCACCGGGACAUGCUGCCUUUGUUUACUCCGGAGUACAGCUGAUCGCUCUAAUGCCGGCCGGCAUUGUGGCCAGACCAGCUAAUAUACCACCCGAACUCUGGAGAAAAACACACCAGGGAAGGCAGAGGAGGGAAGCAACGUCGGGGGGAAUAGAGGAGGGUCGAGACGGGACGGGCGUAUGGAGAGGAGAAGAUUUAAGCCCGGUCUCCCCUCUGUUAUGGGAAAUGUACGGUCCCUUAGCAACAAAAUGGACGAGCUAACGGCGCUAACGCGGAGCCACCCGGAGUACUGUGAGUGCAGUCUGAUGUGUUUCACGGAGACUUGGCUGCACAGUGACAUUACGGACCAGAACGUCUCCGUGGAUGGCUUCCACACUGUCCGGGCGGACCGGGAUUGCACUGAGAGCAGUAAGCGGAAAGCCGGGGGGCUUGCUGUUCUAGUAAACAGCAGAUGGUGUUA